rnacentral:misc_RNA from 1 species
GAUGAAGAACGCAGCGAAACGCGAUAUGUAAUGUGAAUUGCAGAAUUCAGUGAAUCAUCGAAUCUUUGAACGCACAUGGCGCCUUCCAGUAUCCUGGGAGGCAUGCCUGUCCGAGCGUCGUUUCAACCCUCGAGCCCCCGUGGCCCGGCGUUGGGGAUCUGCCACGGCAGGCCCCUAAAACCAGUGGCGGACCCGAAGGCCCUCUCCUUUGCGCAGUAGCAUCAGCCUCGCAUUGGGAUCCCUCGGCGUCCUGCCUCUAAACCCCCACAAGUCCGCUCCGGCGGCACCAAGGUUGACCUCGGAUAAGGUAGGAAUACCCGCUGAACUUAAGCAUAUCAAUAAGCGGAGGA